rnacentral:tRNA from 1 species
ACUCCGGUGGUGUAAGGCGAACAUCGCUGCACGGAAAGCAGAAGAGCGGGUUCGAGUCCCGCCUGGCGCA